UCGGGAAUUUUGGGCAAUGGGCGCAAGCCUGACCCAGCAACGCCGCGUGAGGGAUGAAGGCCUUCGGGUCGUAAACCUCUGUCGGGAGGGAAGAAAGGUCUCCGCGCAAAUAGUUCGGGGGCUUGACGGUACCUCCAAAGGAAGCGCCGGCUAACUCCGUGCCAGCAGCCGCGGUAAUACGGAGGGCGCAAGCGUUGUUCGGAAUCACUGGGCGUAAAGCGCGUGUAGGCGGCCUGGCAAGUCGGUUGUGAAAGCCCGAGGCCCAACCUCGGAACUGCACCCGAAACUGCCUGGCUAGAGUCCCGGAGAGGGUGGCGGAAUUUCCGGUGUAGAGGUGAAAUUCGUAGAUAUCGGAAGGAACACCAGCGGCGAAGGCGGCCACCUGGACGGUGACUGACGCUGAGACGCGAAAGCGUGGGUAGCGAACAGGAUUAGAUACCCCCGUAGUCC
rnacentral:rRNA from 1 species